rnacentral:rRNA from 1 species
AUUGCCUAGUAACGGCGAGUGAAGCGGCAACAGCUCAAAUUUGAAAUCUGGCUCUUUCAGAGUCCGAGUUGUAAUUUUGCAGAGGGCGCUUUGGCUUUGGCAGCGGUCCAAGUUCCUUGGAACAGGACGUCACAGAGGGUGAGAAAUCCCGUACGUGGUCGCUAGCUAUUGCCGUGUAAAGCCCCUUCGACGAGUCGAGUUGUUUGGGAAUGCAGCUCUAAAUGGGAGGUAAAUUUCUUCUAAAGCUAAAUAUUGGCCAGAGACCGAUAGCGCACAAGUAGAGUGAUCGAAAGAUGAAAAGCACUUUGGAAAGAGAGUCAAACAGCACGUGAAAUUGUUGAAAGGGAAGCGCUUGCAGCCAGACUUGCUUGCAGUUGCUCAUCCGGGCUUUUGCCCGGUGCACUCUUCUGUAGGCAGGCCAGCAUCAGUUUGGGCGGUGGGAUAAAGGUCUCUGACACGUUCCUUCCUUCGGGUUGGCCAUAUAGGGGAGACGACAUACCACCAGCCUGGACUGAGGUCCGCGCAUCUGCUAGGAUGCUGGCGUAAUGGCUGUAAGCGGCCCGUCUUGAAACACGGACCAAGGAGUCUAACAUCUAUGCGAGUGUUUGGGUGUCAAGCCCGAACGCGUAAUGAAAGUGAACGGAGGUGGGAACCCGCAAGGGUGCACCAUCGACCGAUCCUGAAGUUUACGGAAGGAUUUGAGUAAGAGCAUGGCUGUUGGACCCGAAAGAUGGU